UACGAAGGACCCGAGCGUUAUCCGGAUUUAUUGGGUUUAAAGGGUGCGUAGGCGGAUUAUUAAGUCAGUGGUGAAAGCCUUCAGCUUAACUGAAGAACUGCCAUUGAUACUGAUGAUCUUGAGUAUGAUUGAGGUGGGCGGAAUGUGUCAUGUAGCGGCGAAAUGCUUAGAUAUGACACAGAACACCGAUUGCGAAGGCAGCUCACUAAGCCAUAACUGACGCUGAUGCACGAAAGCGUGGGGAGCAAACAGG
rnacentral:rRNA from 1 species